AGUUCUGUAGCUUAGUUGGUUAAAACGCCGGUCUAGUGUAUACGAAGUCGUGAGUUCGAGUCUCACUAGAACGC
rnacentral:tRNA from 1 species